CAUUAAAAGAAAAGUCCAGAAGCAGAGCAUUGUGUCCCUCCUGGAGAGGGUUAUGUUGGGAGGGAGAAGAGUGCCUGGAGGGAGAUGCAGCCUAUCAGUGAUGGGGUGAGGUGUCAGGACAAGGACAAGCUUGUACUGGGCCCCCUAACUGCAAGGUUCACUGUCUACAGAACAAAGCAUGCUUCAUUGAAGGGUCCAAGCUCAUGCAAUUUCUAAUGGUUAGGAAAACCAAUGUGGCAUCUGGCUACACCCCCGUUGGAGACUGGUCACACCCCUGAACAUGGACCCCUACCACUGCAUCCCCCUGGUAAUAUUGGUGGCAUCUGAUCCAGAAGGACAGGUCCGAUACAGUAAUUAUGGCCGUGAGACCGCUGACCCGCAUGUGGAAUGCAUAUCCAAUGACAGCGGCGGGUACUUCCUGUUUCCGGCCGGGCUCGACUUCCGGUCCAGACGUCACUUCCGAUGUACGUCACUUCCGCUAUACCGUUUUCCCGCGAAGAUCGUGGGAGGGAGCCGCUAAGGGAGGUGGACGGGAAUCAAUUAAGGAUUUCUUUAAAUAGAGAUAAAGAUGAGUAGGACAGCAUGCUUCUGAGGAAGGACCCAUGAGGGUCUGAAACGCGUUAAGCUGCUGAUUAACCGAACGGGACCGAGGCCAGUAGAUGACAUCUUUUCCUGACAAGCAUAUGGAUUGAUCCGGACUCCAUCCUUUGCCUAUUUUAUCAUCUAUCAGGACUGAUUGUCACUUCUAUUUAGUUUAUGGAUACCCAUGUUGGUAGAUAUGCGACUUUGAAAAUUUAUGUUUGUGAGUGCAUUUUAUUAAAAUUGUUAUCCCUUUUUAAAUAAGGAUCUGCACUAUUAUUUGCUUUUUUUAUUUGGAGGAUCGGUGGUAUCUCUACAACUUAUUAUCUCCAAUCAAGUGUUACCUGUGAUUUGUGGUGAACUACUGAAUUAUCAAGAGAUACUCACCAUUUGGUGAGAGAUACGCUUGUAUAACAUCUGUGGAAUGUGAGUGUGAAACCCCCCGCUCAAAUCUUCAAUUUAUUUGUAUCAAACAUCAUUGCACUAGAUGUUGUUUUCUCCUUCUCUCUGAGUUCUUUGAUGAGGAAGACCAGAGAGAAGACCACAGAGAAACAAGGAGGAAUUAAACCAUCAUUUAUAUUGUUAAAGGGAAGUUGGUUCAUUAAUUUUGGUCAUACCAAAUCUUUGUUGCAUGUAAUCUUGCACAGCGCCUAUUGAAGUAUAUUUUCUUUUGUGUUAGAAUUCGGAGAGGAACAGGGACAGAGAGAGUCUGGAAAAGAUAUAAUAUCUUGGGGAGAACAUUCAUUUUGAUAGCAUUGAUACUGCCUAUUCAAGAGAUAAAAUGCUUUUUCCAAGAUAGAAUACCCUGAGAUAUCUCUUUAAAUAAGGGCGGGUAAUUCGCUUCGUAUAGAGAGUGAUAAGAUUUGGUGAUGUGGAUACCUAAGUAUUUGAUGGAGGUAUGACGCCAAGUGAAAGCGAAGUUGGUUUUAAGAAGAGUCAGUGUGUCAGUUGGGAUAUGUAGGGGGAGCGCUUCUGAUUUGUCGUUGUUAACCUUAUAGCCGGAGAGGUCUCCAUAGAGAGUUAAUUCUUUGAAAAGGUUGGGCAGUCCAAUUUCUAUUUUAAUGUCUUAUUUUUGCCCUACAGCCCUUCAUCAGCGAUAAAAUAACAGGGUUUCCACCCCUGGGCAUAAUUAUAUUGUCACUCUGCUGGUUUCCAUGUUAUAGUGAUAUUCGGAGCAAGGUAACUAGUGAUCUGACUGGUUACAAAAUUUGCAGAGCGACAGGCUUGCAGUCCUCCCCAUUUUCUCUUGAUCUGGUUAAUGCUGUCAGAACUGACUAGAGGAAGUAUUAUUAGGAGGAUUGUAAUGAUUUUAUUAGUUAUAGAUGGAAACUUUCCAGAUGCAUAAAUGUUUUUAAUAUAUUUAGAAAAGUUAUUUCAAUUAUUGUUCGGAUUAUAAAGGUGUGGAGCCCAUGGUCCUUAUUCUUUAACACCCCUCUCGCCUUUACUUAAAGUGAUAGAGUAACAUCUAGAGUAUAUUGAACCAGAUUAAUAUGUCCAAUUCUCUUGGGUUUUUUUCGAUUGGGACUUGGGAUGACCUGUCGGACUGUUCCCUCCCAUCCCUUUACCUCCCCUACUCUCUAUCUACUCCUUUCUCUGGUCUUCUCUUUCCUUUCUUCUUUCUCUAACUGUUAUUGUCACUCUGAAUUUUAGUUUCUCUAGUGACUCCUUUACUCCAAAUGGUUUUUGGGUUUUUUAAAUACUAUAGGAAAAAAAAUGAGAUAGACUUUGAGAGGUAUUACCUACAAAUCUUUUAUUAGUUCUUAGUUUUGAUUUAUCUUGAGAUCUGUGCCCAAAUGGCCUACUAAUACAUCCCAAUCGGGCUUUGAUGUACGCUGUUUGUUCAUGUUUUCAAUGGCCUCUGCAUAGGUCUUUUGUCAUUUUCAUUUAUAUCCAUGUCUUCUCACAAAUAAAAUUUAUAUUAAAAAAAUAAAUAAAAUUA